rnacentral:misc_RNA from 1 species
AAUCCAAGAAUUUCACCUCCAACAAUUGAAUACUGAUGCCCCCGACUGUCCCUAUUAAUCAUUACGGCGGUCCUAGAAACCAACAAAAUAGAACCGCACGUCCUAUUUUAUUAUUCCAUGCUAAUGUAUUCGAGCAUAGGCCUGCCUGGAGCACUCUAAUUUUUUCAAAGUAAAAGUCCUGUUUCCCCGCCACGCCCAGUGAAGGGCAUGGGGUUCCACAGAGGGAAAGGCCCGGCCGGACCAGUGCACGCGGUGAGGCGGACCGGCCAGCCAGGCCCAAGGUUCAACUACGAGCUUUUUAACCACAACAACUUUAAUAUACGCUAUUGGAGCUGGAAUUACCGCCC